AUCAUUAACAAUCAUUUCAUUGGUUUUCUUCACUGAAAACCAAGUGGCAGAUGGCAUGAAUCCAUUUGAAUGGUACAAACUCCCCUUCUAACAAAAGGACAGAUGGGAACUGAUAAGGUGGGCACUGGAUAAAAUUUAUUUAGAGGUUCCAUAGCUGACAGGGGUUGAUGAAAGUGGGGUAUACAUAUUUCCCUUUCAACUUGCACAUUAUAAUACAAGGUUCACAUGUGGGUCUGUUGACAAAUAGGUGAGAACAGUCUCACACGAGUGUUAGAUGCGUAUGGUCAUGGAGCAGGUGUGUAUCUUCUUCCCAGCAUUCUUGGAGAAUUGGAAGUGCAGAGUAGGGAUGGUCUGGUGGUCACUCAUGCAAUGCAUGCAUUACUUUUGUACUGCUGUGAUAAAGCACUAUGACCAAGGCAGCCUAUGGAAGGAAGAGUUUACUUGGGCUUCCAGUCCCAGUGGGGCGAGUCCAUCACCAUCAUGGUGUGGAAAUCAUGGCAGCAGGCAGGCGUGGUAAAAGGAAUGUUAGCUGGAAUAAUGAGCUAAGAGCUCAUCUCUUGAACCACAAGCAAGAAAACAGAGCAAACUGGGAAUGGUAGAUAUUUUUUAAACCUUCAAAGCCCAGUCCCAGCGACAUACUUCCUCAAGCAAGGAUACAUACACACACACGCACACACACACACACACACACACACACACACACCCCACAAACAACACACACCUCCUAAACCUCCACAAAGAGUUCCACUAACUAGGGACCGAGUAUCAAAUUGCCAAAGACUGUGAAAGACAUCUCAUUCAAAUCACUGUAUUCCACAUGCUGCCCCUUAUCCUCUUUUGUCGAUAUCAUAAUGUAAAUGUAGUCAGGACAAAUUCAAACAUUCCCAUGGUCUUUCAGUCUCAACACUGUUUAAAAGCCCACAGUCUGAAGUCUCUCAACUCUUAACUAUAAUCCCCUGUAAAAUAAAGCAAAUUAUAUUAUCAAUAUUUAAUGACAUAGAAUAUAUAUUAACAUUAAAAAAAAAUGGAGGAAUUCGAGCACAGUGGAGAAAUAGUGAAGCAAAACAAAAUGGAGAUCCAGCAGGGCAAACAAGGAAUGUUAGCACCAUGUCUGGUACAAAGAGGUUUAGAUGGUUCUGCCUCUUUAGCUUUUCUUUCUGCAAGAUAUAACACCUUGCCUGUCUGUCUGUCUGUCUGUCUGUCUGUCUGUCUGUCUGUCUGUGUCUGUCUGUGUCUGUGUCUCUGUCUCUCUUUGUAUGUCUCUGUCUCUGUCUCUCUGUCUCUGUCUGUCUGUCUGUCUGUCUGUCUCUCUCUCUCUCUCUCUCUCUCUCUCUCUCUCUCUCUCUCUCUCUCUUCCUGGCUCAGUUCCCUGUGUGAGGCUCCCUUUGGCACAUAUCUCAUGACUCUGGCAUUUUAAUGAUCUUGGGGUCUUCACACGGAGGCCUCUCAGGGACUCAUACAGGAGCUCCCAGUCAUAUACCUGGCCUGGUGGCUCUCUGAAACCAUAGAGGAAGAUCCAUCACACUUUUACUCAUGUAUCUUUCAUGACUCUAAAGCCAGCACCACUUGGGCCACUGCCAAGCUUGGCUGCCAGCUUGGGAUGGACUCUUUUUUUUUUUUUCUUUUUUUCGGAGCUGGGGAUUGAACCCAGGGCCUUGCGCUUGCUAGGCAAGCGCUCUACCACUGAGCUAAAUCCCCAACCCCUGGGAUGGACUCUUGUCCCCUUGAAUCAGAUUUGCAGCUGCUACCGCUCGUUGAUCCUUUCUGGGAGCAGAAACGUCUUUGGGCCUUUUCAUUUCACAAGUUAGAAGAUCAGCUGACUGGGUCUUGCCUUGAGAGCACCCUCCCCAUUUACUCCAAUGCAGAGCAGGCCUCUCUCUAAUCUCCUUGUGUUUCUCAGCACAAACAUGGCUGCUACAGUAGGUUUCUUGGUACACUCUGUCUCUUCUAACUGUACAUAUUUUAUUUCUUUUUGUGUCACUUGCCCUUUACCAUUGUAGACCUGUAUAAUAGUGGUUCCUGAUAACUAGCAAGAGGGGCGGGGCAGUCUACCAGGCACAAAACUAGCUCUUGCUAGACCCAGAAUCUGCUAGCACCUUGAUCUUACAGUUCCCAACAUUCAAAUUUGGAGCACUGAACUUGUAUUGUUAUAGAAUUGCAAUGAACUCAGACAAUUGAUCUAUAUGUCCUGUACUCUGUGGGAUGGUGCAGCACCACAUAGAUGUUCACUUCCUCAUUGUUGUCUUCCUUUUCAAAAUAUAAAUAAUAUAAAAAAUAAAAUAUAUGAAAGUAUAAACUAUGUAGACUAUGGAAAAUAUAUCUGUGAGAUGGUCCAGAAUCACAUAGAUGUCCCCUAUUCAUUGCUGUUUUCCUACUCAAAAUAUAAAUAAUAUGUAAAAUAUAAAAAAUGUAAAAUAUUAAAAAUAGAUCUGACAAUCAUUUGAUAUUUAACAAUUAUGUGAUGGAUUAAUUAGCAUUGUUGAGCAGGCAAAUUAGAGCUUAAGAAUUGUGUGUGUGUGUGUGUAUUCCUGUCCAUGUAUGCAUGUGUAUAUGCACGUGUGUAUGCACGUGUGUGUAUUUGCACAUGUAUUUGGAGGCCAGAGGCCAAUGUCUGGUGCCUUUCUUAAUCACUCUCUUCCUUAUUUUUAAGGUAAGGUCUUUCACUGAACCUGGGACUCCCUCAUUGGCUGCAGCCAAUGAGCUCCAGGCUUCUGCCCAUCUCUGCCCUCCAGGGCUUGUGCUAUAGACUUGUGUUACACUAUUGCCUAGAUUUUACAAGGGUUCUGAGAAUCUGAACUCAGGUCCUCAUGCUUACAAUGUAAGCAUUUACUAUCUGAGCCAUCUCCCCACCCCAGGAUUUAUUUUUAUGCCAAGUUUAUAUGGCUCAUAGAAAGUUUAACACGAGGUUUAUAGCAUAUUUAUAUAAGGUUUAUAAGAAGCAUAUAAUUUACAAGUAUAAUAAUUUUAACAUUUCCAGUGAAGAAGAGCAUCAAGUUCAACAUUUUCCCUUAAAAGUAGGGAAACAAAAGCCCUGAUCCGUUACCACCUUUCCCUCACCUCACAGUAAAGGUAUCCGUUUAGCUUUUGAACAGGUCCACUUAUGUAUGAACUAUGUCUAUAAAACAUGUGAGCAAUAUUUAUGUUCAAGUAAAGAAUCAAUAUCUCCCUUUUUUCCUUAAUGGAACAGUUAGCGCCACAUACACGCACACAUUGAAAAGCGAUAGGAAAUCAGAAAGUGUUCCUGAGUCAGCAUGCGACACCCAGAAAAGUACUCAUAGUGACUGCCACAUGCAUGGUAGUCCACAGCUGACACUGAAGAGUCACAAGAAGACGCAGUGGGGAGACAUGCGUGACUUUGCAGUAAGAAAGGACCUGAAUAGACAUUUGUCCUUUCCUUACUGAUGUACACACCUUAAAUCCUGCGUAUUCCAAAGCAAUCGCCACUUCUGAUGUCAAACGUGGCAUAGACCACAAGCUUUCGUGACCUGGGUUCAUACUGUUUUGUUCUGAGGGCAUCCAAGCAACAGUAAUACAAAUCUUCCUUGGAACCAGGUGGACAGGCUAUGUAGCGUGAGCUUCAGGAACUCAUAUAACGUGUGUGUGUGUGUGUGUGUGUGUGUGUGUGUGUGUGUGUGUGUAUGUGUGUGUGUGUGUAAGAGAGAAGGGGCAUAUCCUAAUACCAAGGACCUAGGGCAGGGUGCUUCCUAUCUUGUUUUAUUAACAACACUAAAUUGAAGCAAAUUCAGACAAAGGGACAUUAGGCCCCCAUCACAGUGGCCUGUUAUCUACUUUAUGAGGUAAUAGUCCACUGAGGUCCCCAAUAUUAGUUUCUUAUAUUCUUAUAGCACUGCCUGUGGGAUUAGCAAGGGUAUAAAGGUCUGAGAGAAAGGCCAACAAACUGCAAAUUUUCAGUCCUGGAUUGUUUUCUUAAAUCUACUAAUUACCUACUGGGUAACUGUGGGAAAACACAACCUGUUAAUGGUUAGCCAUUUCAGUUUCUCUGCCCAUAAAAUAAGCCAUAAAUUAUCCACACACUUGCAAAGGCUCUGGAGGAGUAAAUGCUCAGAUGAAAGCUAUGGUAACGCUGUAACAUGGGCUCUCACAGUCGGAAAGUGGCUUUGACCUUUAGGUAAAGCUAAAAUGAAGUCAGAAAACGAGACUCCAGUGAAACUGAUUUUUGAGGUAGUAGUGCAUUUCGUUUGAGCUGAUCAAAAGGACACACACAUGCACACACACAUACACACACAUACACACAUGCACACACACAUAUACAGAUACACACACAUACACACACAUACACACACACAUGCACACACAUACACACACAUACACAUACACACACAUAUACACACAUACACAUAUACACAUAUACACACACAUACACACACAUAUGCACACACACAUACACACAUACACACACAUACACACACAUGCACACACGCGCGCGCACACACACACACACAUACACACACACACACACACACACAAUUUAUACUGUUUUCUCCAGGGAAUGAAUCAUGUGUAACAAAUCCAUGACUUAAAAGAUUUCUUUGUGAAAGCAAGAUCACCACAUCUUCCGCUGGUUUAUAUCUCAUCUGUGAUUGGCAUGGUCCCUAUCCUCUUGGGCGAUGGCAUGGCCUCUUCUCCUUGACUGCUAAAAAACCUGACACAGUUUUAUAUCUCCCAAGGGACAAGUUUAAUCCAUUUGAGGCUUUCAUCCUCUAAGAACCUCUGAUAAUUUGCUUUAAGGGUGUAUUGAGACUGUGAGACUCUGAGAUAAAUUUGAUUGAAAGAAGAUCGUUUUAAUUGGGUGUGGUGGCUCAUGCCUGUAAAUCCCAGUACUUAGGAAGCAGAGGCAGGAAGAUGACUGUAAGUUCUAGACCAGCCUGAAGUAUAGAAACAAAACAAAAAAAACCCAGAUAUUGCCUCUCUAUAUUUUCAGGGUUUACUGAAAGCCUUGUUGGGGCUGCGGUGAGGAUGAACAUGUGAGUGUAGAUACCACCACAGGCCAGCAGCUCUGGGUCUCCAAGAGCUGGAGUUACAUGCAGUCGUGGGCCAUCCAGCACGAGUCCUUGGAACCGACCUUGGUGUCUCUGCAAGAGCAGUACGUGCUCAUAAUAGCCAAGCCGUCUCUGCAGUCCCAGAGCUGUUUUCUUGACUUUGAAUUCAAAGCAGCUUUGGAGUUCAUGAAGGAGUCCCCCAGAGAGAGCCCACAGGUCAUAACACUGUCUCCAAGGGCAGUGGGUCCGGCUGCGAGGCUGGAACUUGUGCUUCAUAAGGCUUGUUUACCUCUGCGUCUGGCAUGGAAACAAGCAAGGCCGCACGGGUCUGGGAGGACUUGUGUAUCUGGAACUGUGAAAUCAUGUGAAAAAGCCAUGGGCUUUGGUGCCGUCUCGCUUCCUGAGGUUCUAGGUUGAAAGCGAGUCACAAGAAAUAGGAGAGUAGUAGAGCUGCCUGGGGGUGAACAGUUCCUUUACUCAUGGUGAGGAGGUUCUUCCUCUCAAGAACCAUGAGGCACUGGGUGUGCAUUCCAUCCUGGAGCCAAAUAUUUCCCAUUCAGUACUCUUUCCUCGGAACCUGUGUCUCUACCUUGGCCUUGACCAGUGCUCAAAAACGUGUUUGUUGAAGAAAGAAAUACCAUAAAGCAAUCACUCACUUUCUUACCCUCCCCUUUGUUGUCUAAUAAUUUAAAAAAAAAUCAAUAUGACACUUGCAAGAGCUUCAGAAAAAAUGUCCCCACCCUAGAGUUCCCCACAAUCCAAAUGGACAAACAUUUCCAUUUAAUUUUUAAAUAUCAGAAGAAUGGGGUGACCACAGUUUAUAUUUUCCCCUCUACUGUCCUGGGGGGGGGGCUGCAUUACUCAUUUAAAUACAAUUUGCUUUAUGUUUGGGUCAGUGGCUUAAGUCAGGAGGUUCUUACAGUAACUUGGUACUGUUGAAAUCCGAAAACCCAGGCAGGCAGCAGCAGCCGGGGAUCCGUGCAUACGGCUGAGCUAGUGAAGUACCAGGCAACCCCCAAAUUUUGGAUGCAGAUUCUCUGCCUAACAUGGAAACAGUUGGCAAACGCCCGAGAAAGCCAGAAGGCCAGUCCUGGUGGUGAGGGAGACUGUGAACCAGAGCACAAUGCAGGAUGGAUGCAUUGGUAUUUGAAAACCACACAAUAUUUUACAACAUUCCUGCCUAUUAAUUGCUGGGAAGGGCACUACCUUAUUGCCUUUUGCAUAAUGGAACCAAUCUUUCCCCUCAGAGGCCCUGUGUUGCUUUGAUCUAGUUCAAAGGACAGGGGAAUGGUGACUAAGGACCUUGGGAAACCAGACUGAGGAACCUUACAGACAAACUCAAGGCUUUUUUUUUUUUUUUGUUUUUUGGAGGGGGGGUGGGUGAUGUUUGUUUUGUUUUGUUUUUUAACUGACGCAUCAUUUUGAUAAACAAUCCCUAUAGUCUGCGCACUUAUCAGAUUCCUCAGCCAAAUAUUUGCUAUUUAUAAAACAAUCAAGGAAACAGACUUGUGUUUAUUAUUCCUAAAUCAGCAGCAGUUUGAUGAAUUAAAAACAGUCUUACUUUUUCCUCUCUCUUUUCCUCCACUAGCCUCUUGUAAAAGUGCCAAGAUUAUACACCCAACUCUCUCUCUCUUUAAACAGUAAAAGCAAAAAAAAAAUAAGAGUGACCUCCACGACCUGUGCGUUGCCUCUGCAAAGGGUACAGCUCGGGCCAACAGCCAAGCCCCACAAGCACUAGAGGUCGAUGUUUGGAACUGAUUGGGUAGGAAAGGGAUGCGGUACAUGUCUGUUUCCGGUUCACAGAGGCCUCCGCGUCACUACAUAGUUUGGAUGUCUGACUAGCUUCCUGACUUUGAGAGUCUCUUUCUUUAAACAUGAGGAGACCAACUCUGGAGAGGAAAGAGAAGACAACACGCAAGGGUCUGGUUCUCCUGGCCAGCCACUCGGAGGAUGGCUCCUCUGGGCGAGACUUAAACAGAGUGAUGCGGGAGGGGGACCGAGUGCCCACGGGCGCGCUUAGAACCUCUUAGUAAGGAAGGCCACAGCUAGGCAACAUACGCUUUAGGAAGCUCCACCUUCAUGACUCUGUGCUUCAAAUUUAGAAAACCCUUCUAAGGCUAGGUCAUCUCUACCCUGUACCAAGAUGGAUGCAUUCUCGUAGAUCACACACGUGAGACAAAGAACGUGCUACGCUGCCUUGAAAACAGCUUCCUGCUCUGCCCAGGUGACCCUACAGUUGCCACCUUCUUAUGAGUGGAGAAUUCAGUAGAGUAUCCGUUGGAAGUGUGUUCAUUGGUGACAUCAGUGCUGGGCACUCUGGAUAUAGCUCUGAGCAAUUCAAGUACCAAGUACAGCAGUGAGUAGCGUCUUCCAUGUCUCAAGCACAAAGGUUGAAGUGAGUGUCUUCAAUGGGUGGAAGGAAGGGUCCACCUGUGAUGGCUUCCGCCCACCACCUGCAGACCCAAGGUGGUGCCUUUUGUCUUUGAUCACCAGGAAUCUUUGUAUGUUUGGAAGACUUUUCUGGGUGUGCAAAAUAUAGUUCUAGCCUGGUUUUUAUUUUUCAAGAUAGAGGGGGUACACUGAAUGGCAGCACGAGUUAGAAUUACCCCUAGUGCAUUGAAUGUUUUUUAUUUUAUACAGAUGAACAUUUUGCCUAUUUGUGUGCACGAAUACAUGGGUGCCACACUGAGUGCUUGGUGUGUGGAUUCAGAAGAAGGUGUCCAAUCCCCUGGCACUGGAGUUACAGGUGGUUGUCAACUGCUAUGUAGAUGUUAGAAACUGAACCCAGGUCUUCCACAAGAGCAGUCUGUGCUCUUAAACGUUGAGUCAUCCCUGGAGGCCCUAUUUCUUGUUUUUACCGAGAUGAAAGCCUAGGAAAUCAAAACGAUAACUAGACUACCAUUUCUGUUCCGUGUCCUGCCAGUGAAAUCACAGCGGCUAAAUAGUAAAGAGACAUAGGAACAUUUCAUUCAAACACCAUCGGUUUUUGGAGUUACAGUUUAGGAAUUCUUGUCUUCAGGAGACAUUUGUGUUAGGAACAUCUACAGUCAUGCCCCCACUACGCACACAUCUCUGUAACAGACAGCUGCAGAUUUUAGAAUAGCCAUGCAUCCCCUAAAUUGUCCUCAGGAGAAGUGAACCUGCUUUUGGUACUGCCCUAGAAAGGGAGCUUGUCAGAAGGCGGCCCUGUGUGAUGCCGUCCUCAGAGGAAGGCCCUGUGUGAUGUCACCACCAGCUGCUAUGUGAUACAAGUUCCAGUUUCUAUUAGGAACCCGACGUCCACACCCGAGCGUAUGUUGCAGGACGUUCACUGACUUUGUAGUUGAGGCAAGGCUGAACAACUGCCAGUCUAGAUGGCUUUUAAAAACCAAAGGCUUCCUCUCCAGUGGGUCCAUCCCUACCACCUUCUUCCCAAGGCUGUGCAAUGAGGACACAGAAGCCGCAUUAACGUGUGCCUUGGAGAAAGUGCUUUGAGACAGCAAGAAACAGCUGGCCCUCUCCAGCUCUUUCCUGAAUCUCCCAUAAGGCCAAGGUGUGAAAGAUGGGGAUGAAGACUUGACCAAAUAGUGAAGCCAAGACAAAACAAAAAACAAAAAACCAAAAAACAGGACGCAGAGGCUUGCAGGAAUGCAGGACACAGCAAACUACAUUCUUUAUGGAGACACAAAGGGUCCAGUCAAAAGUUAAGUCUAUCAAUCCACUCAGACACGUUCCUUAUUCUGCUGAUGGCUCUGAUCUCGUGUUCUUCCCUAGGCUCUGUGAAUGCUGACCACCUAUUAAACUCUGACCCAUCUUUAAGCCCUACUUCGAAAGCCUCAUAUGCAAGCUUUCCUCAUCUCCCAGUGAGCUAUUUCCUGCCCAGUGGAGUUUGAACCUAACCUAGUACUUUGUCCUCAAUGUUUAGCACUUAUCUAGUUACUUAUUUAUGACUUGUUAAUAUAUCUGUCUCUCUGUCUCCCCUCCUCCUCUCCAGAUGCAGACUACAAUUUUCUUGAAUAUCUUCCAUGACUUUUCCUGCUAUCUGUAAAUAUUAUCCAUGUAACCAGGCCCUGGCCCCCAGGAAGUACUCAAUAAAUGUUUAUUGACCCAUA